GAUGCUCCUCAGCAUUCACUGUGAGCGCGGUCACAUCAGCACUCACUAAGGGGACUGCAGGGUAGCAGGGUCAGCAGAGCCGCAGGGGCCAGUGAGGAGUGCAGGAACUGAGAAGGCUGGAGGGCGGGCUGGAGGGAGGCUGCUGCCAUUCCGUGCCUCUCGGCCUAGGUGUGUUACCGGGUGCUGAUGCAGCUCUGCUCCUACUACGGGCAGCCCGUCUUGUCUGUGCGGGUCAUGCUGGAGAUGCGACGGGCAGGCAUCGUGCCCAACACCAUCACCUAUGGUUACUACAAUAAGGUACCUAGUUUGGGGUAGGACGGCUGGCAGGCUGGACCAGGUGUGCGUGGGGAGGACGUCGUUCCCUGACCCCUGCUUCCCCGUCUUGGAGACUGGGCUUGUGCAGCUCCACUGGGUCCUGGGACCAUUGUCCUCCAUCGCCGCCUCUUGUAGCCUAGGCACCAGCAAAUGGCUUUUUGGUUUUUUGUUUUCAUCUUAGCUUCUUUUAUUCCCCAUCGCAACAGCCUGACUGUAGCUCAUAGUACCGGCCGUGUGUCCGGCACUCUUCUGAAUACAUCAUACAUUUUUAAAAACUUCACAUUAUACGUUUUAAAUAACUUUAUAUUCACCAUCCCCCUGGGGUAGGAGGAUCACCCCCGUCUCAUAGAUGAGGAGAUGAGUUACAGAAAAUUCAUAACUUGCCCAAAGUACCAUAGUGGACGAGUUGGGGAGUUAGAAUAUGAGCAAAGGCAUAUUCCUGUUUCCCAGAUUCAGCCCCUUCACCAUGAUACUGAACAUCUCCUGCUUUUCAGAUGAGGAAACUUAAUGACCGAAAUCUGAAAUGAUUUCUUCAAAGCCACACAGUUUAUAAGUAGUAGAGUCUGAUUAAGAACUUCCUCCAUUACUCUGGGCUUCUCGCAGGUCCUCUCAGGAUAGUUGCUCACAAUUACCCUUGUUCCUGGCUGAGCCAUUGGUCAGGCAGUCCUAGGCAGGAUGUGUGGAGGGAAGGUGGUCCCUGGGGCUCGAGGACAGGAGGUGGGCAUCAGGCUGGGGUCAGGGUGCUGGAAGGAGGCCAUCCUGAUGGGCGCUGUACUUGGCAGGCUGUGCUGGAAAGCAAGUGGCCAUCUGGUACACCAGGUGGACGCUUGCGUUGGGCCAAGCUCCGGAAUGUUGUCCUGGGGGCUGCUCAGUUCCGUCAGCCUCUGAGAGACCGGCAGCGGCGGCAGCAGCAGCAGCAGCAGCAGCAGGUGUCAGCACACCAAGAGGCUGGCAGUUCCCAGACAGGUGGGCAGGGACUGGUGAGCAGGCUUAGGGAGGGGCAGCAGGCUCUUGGAGAGCCAGAGCUGGCUUCGCGGUCGGCAUGGGCUUUCAGAGAAUGGCUAAGCUACACUCAACUGGUAACAAAAGAGAGAAAGUUCUGCCUGUGGGGAACCCUGCCAAGCCAGGUCCCUCCGCGGAGGUCUGUUGGGGUUUCUAGCUCGCGGCCUCUAAAUCCCUUCUCUGUCCUCCAGAGUCCUAUCUGGAACGCCCUUCCCCGACCCGUCCCCUUCAGCGCCAGACGACUUGGGCUGGGCGAAGUCUGAGGGACCCGGCCUCACCCACUGGGCGCCUAGUGAAGAGUGGCAGUUUGGGCAGUGCCCGAGGAGCCCAGCCCACUGUAGAGGCCGGUGUGGCCCACAGUAAGUGCCCUGGUCUGGUCCUCCUCUUCUCUUCCCCACAGUCAGUUUUCCUAACCACUUGCAAGAAAGGAGAAGAACCAGGGCCAGAAUUCUGGAAAAGUGGGCCUGUGUGGUGGGUAACUGUGUACUCUGAGGAGUCAAAAUGUCGUGGUGGGGUCAAGUGUCAGAGUUUACACAGCCGGAAUCGUGUUACUCAAGAAGCAGGCAGCUGGAGGAGAGGCUGGCCUCCGCCUUCCCUGAUUCUUUUUUUGUCCUGCAGUGAUAGAGGCUUUAGGGGUCCUGGAGCCCCGGGGAUCACCUGUGCCCUGGCAUGAUGGAAGUCUCUCAGACCUGAGCCUGACAGGGGAGGAGCUGGCACCUGGAGGCAGUCCAGGCGGCUCAGGCUUGGCCCUGAGUGCCCAGUCCACUGAGGCCCUGGAAGGGCUGAGUGUGCGAGGGCCCAAGGCUAGUGGGCGUCAGGAUGAGGCAGCCACCCCCCGACGAGGGCUGGGUGCCCGCCUCCAGCAGCUGCUCACUCCUUCCCGCCGCUCCCCUGCUGCCCGCAUUUCCCCAUCAGAGAUGCCCCCUGACCUGCCUCCCCCUGCCCGUCGCAGCCCAAUGGAGAGUCUUCUGAGGCCCCGGGAGCGACCUGGAUCCACUGCAUCGGAGGUAGCCAGCCCCGAAGCUUCAGGAGGCCCCAGGAGGGGCCUGCAGGGUCGUUAGAGCUGGCAUCCCUGCUGGAGAGGAGCGCGGAGCCAGCUGACAGGGUUUCCUUGUGUGAUGGCAGAGCUCAGCCUCUCUGGGCAGUGAGUGGGACCUCUCAGAGUCUUCUCUCAGUAGCCUGAGCCUCCGCCGUUCCUCAGAGCGCCUCAGUGACACCCCUGGAUCCCUCCAGCCACCUUCCCUGGAAGUGAGGAUAACCGCCCCCCUGCAGUCUUCCCGGGAAAGGCAGGGUGGGGAGGAGGUCAAGGAGGGCUGGCUGGGAUUUGGAGGUGGAAGGGCCAGGAGAGGGGCACUGAAGGCUGAGCCAGGCCUACUUCCUGGGGUCUCCUUGUCCACAGAUUCUGCUCUCCAGCUGCUCCCUGUGCCGUGCCUGUGACUCACUGGUGUACGAUGAGGAAAUCAUGGCUGGUUGGGCACCUGACGACUCUAACCUCAACACAACCUGCCCCUUCUGCGCCUGCCCUUUUGUGCCCUUGCUCAGUGUUCAGACCCUUGAUUCCCGACCCAGGUGCCCAAAUCAGGGCAAGUGCCGUGGGUGGGACAGGAAGGCAGUGGUCCAAGAGCUGACCCCUUCUGCUGUCCCCUUGCAGUGCCCCCAGCCCCAACCCUGCCCCUGCUGGUGCCAGCAGCAGCAAAGACGCCCCUGUUCCUGGGGGUCCUGGCCCUGUGCUNGGAAAGAUACAGAGCUACUGAGCCUUUGCCCAGAUGAGAGGGGGGAUCUCAUCCCACCAGUGGUGGUCCCCCUUCCCUGGCGUUGCUGAAGGAGCCCAAGGCUCUCCAUGCCUUUCUACCUUAGUGUUUGUAUUUUAUUUUAAGUUAUUUAUUCUGGAGCCACAGCCCCCUUGCUAAUGAGGCUCUAAUGGAGAGUGAGAAAGAGAAGGGAAAUGGGGCACCGAGGUCUGUAGCUCCCUGAAAGCCAGGCAGUGGGAGCCAGGGGAGCCCCAGGACCCCCUGAGGAAGAACUGGUGCCUCCUGCAGUCCUGAUCUUUCCUGUCCACUCCAUCUUGGGAAGCGCCCCACCCACCCAGGGCCCUGACCUGUGCAAUAAGAAUUGUCCCCUGCAAAGUUUUGUUGUAUGUAAAUAUAGUAAAAGCUGCUUCUGUCUUUUUCCUUCUGUCUCCCUUUUCCUGGGUCUGGAUGAUAGUGGGGGAUGCUUAUGCUGCGCCUUUCUCUUUUCCACCUCUGUCCUUUGCAACCUUCAGGUAUACCCUGCUUCUCCUGGCCCCUUGGUCUGGUACUGGCCCCUUGGGGCACAGGGAGUUCUUAGAGCAGGAUGGGGGGGAAUCUGGUGCUGCUAUGGCAGUGCCAGUCUGUGUGGCACUUCCAGCCCUCCCACACAAUCACCCCCUUGUCCCUCAUCUGUACCCCACACAAAGGCUCCAUUCUCUGGGGGCCUUGAGCUCAUCUUUGCCUUAUUUCCUCUCCCCUAACUUGCCCCCCGACUUCUCCAGUACCUCCACAGAGAUGACAACCCUUUCCCCAGUAGUUGGUGUUGGCGGCCCUCACGUGUCCUGGGGGACUUGGCAUUCAGUCAUUCUCGUCCUCCCUAGUUGCUCUAUUUGCAGGCAGUAUUCUUCUGCUCAGGGUCUCAGCCUGGGGACAGCACUGGAAAGAAAGGGGCUUCUUGUGCUGUGAACAUCAGGGAGAUGGGCAUCAUUUUCUAAUCCCUUGGCCCACUCAACGCUCUCCUUUUUUUCCCUAUAUAAGAAAUAAACAGGAAACAAUUCCUAACAGAGCUGCAAAACCAUUUACCAAAGGGAGUCAGCUAACAAAACAAAUGCCUUGGGAAGGAGGGCUGCAGUAUCAAUGGGGGAAGUGACUUACAUUAAUGUUUAGUGUAAAUCCCUGGGCGAUGGAGAUCAGUGGGUGAAAAGAGAAGUACUACUUCUGAAUGCCGGGACCUUCAUGCAGAGGACCCUUCCCCAUCCUGCCUUGAUGCUUUUCCAGUCCUUAAAAGAGCUGCAAAGGAGGAAACCAAAGGGCUUAGGAAAUGCCACCAUCUGUCUUGCUAGAUGAUGAUCUCUUCAGAGGUCACCCUAGUUUCUGAUUAGACCCCACUCAUCAGAAUCGACUCCCUAUUUUGUCCCUAAGGCCUAAGGACCUUUAGUAAGGGUGGACUUGCCUGUGUGUGUGUGUGUGUGUGUGUAGUGGUGGUGAUGCCGGGGAUCAAAUUCAGGCCUCAUUCAUGCUAGGCAAGUGCCCUACCAGUGAGCUAUGCCCCUAGCUUACAGACCUGCCCUCUUACAAUUAAUUUGGGUAUAGUAUACUCAGUACUGCACUUAACUAUAGUGAGAAAAUUUUAGGGCCCAGUCCCUGCCCAAGUAGAGCAUACUAUCUUACUAGUCUAGCAUGCCCUUUGGUUCCACAGUAAGAACUCUGCCUUCCAGCUUAUGCCUCUCAUUUUUGAGAAGUUAGAUAAGAGAACUACAGAAUUUCAUAACUACAGAUUAUCGGGAAUUCCAAUAGCAACUUAUGAUACCAUAAUAUCUGAUAUCUGUCCUGUGGCCUAGGGAGCUUUCUGAGGGAAAGGAUAUGUCUAAAUUGCCUGGGUCAGUUUCUUUUUCCAGACUUCAGAGUAUAAAUCUUGUCUCUGUCACUUACUAAUCUUAUGAUGUCAGACAAGUAACUUAACUGCUAUGCCUUAUUUUUUUCUCAUCUGAAUGUGGGGAGGGGGGUCAUUUAAAGACUAAUUAUAUUAUCCAUAUGAAAUGUUAAGCACAUUCAAUAAAUGUUAGCUUCAAAAAGGCAAGUA
rnacentral:lncRNA from 1 species